rnacentral:rRNA from 1 species
UGGAUGAUGUGGAUUAAUUCGAUGCAACGCGAAAAACCUUACCUACCCUUGACAUGUCUGGAAUCUUGCUGAGAGGCGAGGGUGCCUUCGGGAGCCAGAACACAGGUGCUGCAUGGCUGUCGUCAGCUCGUGUCGUGAGAUGUUGGGUUAAGUCCCGCAACGAGCGCAACCCUUGCCAUUAGUUGCUACGAAAGGGCACUCUAAUGGGACUGCCGGUGACAAACCGGAGGAAGGUGGGGAUGACGUCAAGUCCUCAUGGCCCUUAUAGGUGGGGCUACACACGUCAUACAAUGGCCGGUACAGAGGGUAGCCAACCCGCGAGGGGGAGCCAAUCCCACAAAGCCGGUCGUAGUCCGGAUCGCAGUCUGCAACUCGACUGCGUGAAGUCGGAAUCGCUAGUAAUCGUGAAUCAGCAUGUCACGGUGAAUACGUUCCCGGGUCUU